CGAAAACGUACGGCCGUACGUUCCCGAAUUGAGUAACACGAUUGGUUGAAAUCCUACUGUUACUGUUACGAAAAAGUGUGUGUGACCAGCUUAAAGAAGCUUGACCAAUUACAGGCUUUACGCUCGUUUUCAUUACUGAAGAACGCGGAGAUCUCGGGAAGUUAUAAAGGUGUCCGGACGUGUUUUGACCGAUUUAUAUGGUUAUUAAUAUUGUGAUAUUUGUUAGUUUUUUAAAUAAAUAAAUAUGAAUGUGACUGAAAAGCAGAAGCAAAUUCUAAUAAAUUUUAUGUGUAACCAUCCGGAUUUCGGAAGAGGGAGGUUAAGGUACAAUCGUGAAAAUAAAAGGAAAUUAGACUAGUUAUGGGAAGAAAUAACGACAAAAUUAAAUUGUACAGGUUCUGGUCCGCGAAAGUCAUCGAAAGAAUGAGCAAAAACGAGGCGUGACUGGAAGUCUAAUUUGUUGAAAAGAGUGGCUACGUACAAAAGUUACGCAGCAAGUACUGGUGGGGGACCACCAAAAACUUUGGAUCUGACUCCUUCAGAAGAGGAUUUGUUAGCAUUUUUGACGCCUGAGGCUAGUGGAAUAUCCAACAUUCCCGAAGGAGAAGCUAUUGAUUUGCUUUUACAAGAUUCUUCAUGUGCGACUUCCCCAAGAGAGAUUAAUUUUGAGAAACAUUACCCCGAGAAUGAAAUGACUCGUCCUUCAAGAAUGUCACCUAGCUCACUGGUUUCAGAUAGCAAAUAUUCUAAAUUAUUUUCGAACGUAAUAAAUGAUAGGGAGGAUUUUUCAAAUAAUAUAUCUUCCAGCGUAUCUACAUCUUCAAAAAAUUUACAAAAAAAAAAUGUACAAGAUGUAGAAAAUGUACAAGAUACACAAAAUGUAUAUUGCAACUACUCCAUAAAAAACAAAAGACUUUUUGAUCGAUGGUAAUAAUUAAGGACGUUCUCUCGUUUUUAUAGAGAAAAUCGAUUUUCUUAGGAUUUUCUUGAAACUGUGAAUAUACGUUAAUUUAGGUGUGCUUUAUGCGUGGUAUCCCAGCCAGAACGCCGACGUCUAUAGACGUCGAAUUGACAUCUUAUAGAUGUCGAUUCGACAUCUAUCGACAUCUAUAGACGUCGAAAAGACGCUAGCAUUCCGGCUGGGAUAAAUUUCAGUACCUCUUCCGGGAUAAAAAAUCAAGAUACUGAGCCUCAAAGUUUCAACUUUUACUAAUGAAAAGGUUUUCCAGGCCAAACGAUAAGAGAUACGAGAUUGGCCAAAAGGACCAAAGUUGCUUCUGUCGUCGAGUUCUAUAAGGAAAAAAUGCCAAAACUAAAAAAAAUUAAAUUUUAAAUUUUUUUUUUAACUUUGAG